CUAGAGUGAUGCCUACAAGUCCCCAGUCAUUGUCUUAAACCUAUAGUCACCUUCAAUUCCAGAGAAAGCAGAGCUUUGUGAGCCCCUCAUGGUGAAGUCACCCUCUGAGUAGGAGCAGUUACCCCAUAUGGGACCCACAGUUGGCCCCUAAGUGGGCACCAUCAUCUCAUGAUAGCAACUGAAUCAUCCCCUCAGGUGACAAAAGCUGUCCCCAGACUUCAUAGAACCAGUCCUGAGACACCCAUCAACCAACCUUGACCAGGAUGACCUACAAGCCUUGCAUUCAAUAAAAUCCCAAGACUUUUGCCAUCAGUUCCUGGAAGAAACCUCCUGAGCCUGGCCUUUACAAGCUUUCUGGUCUUCUGAGCUCUGCCUGGAAGAUCCUGGACUCAUGGCAUGGGAACAGCGAAUCAAACCUGCAGACACAUGGUGACUACUGGCGACCCCAGAGGCCUUCACAGAGAAAAGCACCAGUGGAAGGGAGCAAUGGACACAGUGGACUCCAGUGGCCGCUUAUCUCAAAUUCCAGAAACAGCAAGCUUUACACUGAAACUGUGCCUCUCAAGCAAUAACAACUUCCCUGGUGCCACCUGGGAUGCCUAUGAUCAAACCUGAGACAAGAUCAACCCUUGUUCUUCCCCCGAAUGAUUCAGCAACUACUGUUAGCACCUCAACAGGAGGAGUUCGGCUUAUCAGCUUCGGUCCUCCCUGGGUCUGGCCACACAUAAAUAAUUCUUAGCUGUUUCGCUACCACUCUCCUCACUGCUGUUGAGAUCUUUUGGGGCAAAUGGCAGACCUGAACUGCUGGGACUCAGCCAGCCAGGCCUUCUAUCCUACGUUCCAGGAAUGUUUUCAGAAAAGAACUGCACAUCCCUAACUGGCC
ensembl:lncRNA